CUUUAGUAUUUGGACCCGGAAGAAGGUCCUUUCCAAUUCCUCCAGCAGUGCUGGGUGUGUCUAUCCACUCAGUUAACGCCAAUCAUUUUCAAAUUUGUGGCAACUGCAAGCAGGAAACGUAUAGUGAGGAAUGCAGUGGAAUCACCACUCUGAUGAAAUUUGUGUAAAGGGUGCCUAUGAGUUAAUAAUUACCUUCUGGAUAGUUUGGGAGGGUAAUUGCCUUUUAUACAUACACUCCCUUAACAUACAACGAUAAUGAUUAAGAAUUUUCUUGUAAUUCCCACGAGGUGAUUAUUUAACAGAGCAACAGGCCAGGGUAGGCUGGCGUGGGGAGCAGCGCUGCUGAGAGUCACUGACUCGCAGCGUUACGGACACGGCUCUGCAGAACGAGGCUUGCACCCAACAGAGCACCAGAGCCCAGGGAGGCCGAGCUCCUCAUCGCCACACAUCAUCGCCACACAUCGGACUUAUAUUCAUUUACGGGACCUAAGAGUAUGACACAUCAUCAUGACAAAGUUGAAGAAGAACUAGCACUGCGGCAACCUGAGUGGGAUUCAGGAAACGCAGUGAGGUCCCGCUGAAAAUCACCUUCGAGUUUCAGAGGAACAUCUGAAGUCAGACUUUACAUAAUGUAAAGAAUAAAGAGCAAAACUCGAGAAAGUCAUAUAACUUAGCAAAUAAUUGAUGUAAAGAUCCAAAUUUUAAUGCAAGGGAUAUUCACUACUUUAAUAUACUAAUAAUCUAGCACAUAUAAAGUAGGAAGUAGACUGAGGUGAAGUUCACUAAAAAGUUACAGUGAAAUGCAGGGGUCAUAUGCUCGCUCAUUCAUGUGUCGAUUUACAGAUGGGUCUUGCCAUGAACUCUGGGGCUCGAUUGAGCCUCCCGCCUCAGCCUCCUGAGUAGCUGGGAUCCCAGGCACAAAGCACCACACCCAGCUCAUCUGCUUCUCAUUAAUCACACUUCGUUAUUCAACUUUUUGGCUGUACAAUACAAUUAAGUUUAGUAAUCUAAACUUUCUGAGUCAGAAUUGUUCUCUUGUAAUUUUGAAUUUCUACAUGAACAAUUACUCUGAAACCAGAUACAGCCUCAUGACGCACUUCCUACUGCGAUCAUGACAUACUUUCUACUGCAAUCAUGCACUUCCUACUGCGAUCUCAGAUGGAUAUGAUACAGCCUCAUGACACACUUCCUACUGCGAUCAUGACACACUUCCUACUGCAAUCAUGAUACACUUCCUACUGCGAUCAUGACACACUUCCUACUACGAUCUCAGUCAGAUAUGAUACAGCCUCCUGACACACUUCCUAUUGCGAUCAUGACACACCUCCUACUGCAAUCAUGAUAUACUUCCUACUGCGAUCAUGACACUUCCUACUGCGAUCUCAGAUAUGAUACAGCCUCCUGACACACUUCCUACUACGAUCAUGACACUUCCUACUGUGAUCAUGACACACUUCCUACUGUGAUCAUGACACACUUCCUACUGUGAUCAUGACAUACUUCCUACUAUGAUCAUGACACACUUCCUACUGUGAUCUCAGAUGGAUAUGAUACAGCCUCAUGACGUAUUUCCUACUGCGACCAUGACACACUUCCUACUUCAGUCAUGACACAUUUCCUAAUUCGAUCAUGGCACACUUCCUACUGCGAUCAUGACACACUUCCUACUGCGAACAUGACAUACUUCCUACUGCGAUCUCAGAAGGACAUUAAAUCUUACAAGUCUCUUCACCAUGCAGACCUCUAGACAGCAAGGAAAACAGAUGCCUAUUUUCUGUCCAUGGCACAGCAUCUUCAUCAAGGCUUGUGGGAUGUAUUUUUUAACUGAAGUUGGCACAGCUUUGACUUCUGACACUGUCCUUCAGUUCUGUCCCUCUAGUCUAGCUAUGCAGCUUUUCUCUGAAAACCAAGUUACACUUUUUCCCAUUCUGAGUCCCAGGUCCUUGAGGCAGUGCUGAAAUAAAUUAUCUUAACCAAUUUGCAGUUGACCUUUCGGCUUCAAUGAGAACAUGUGAGGAAAGCUCCUGAAAAAUAAAACUUACACCAUAAGUGCCAAUUUCCCCUGUGCAGGAAGAGGACACAUCAGUAAGUGAAAAAGCCAGAGAGCAGGUCGGUGGGCAGGGAGCGUGUGCCCCGCCACACAGCAUCUGGGGGAAGCCACCAAGAAGGAUGGUCAGGAUGCCUAACCUCUCCCAUCCAAGAUAAACACUCGAAUUUCACGGACACCAUAUUUAAACUGCCAAGGACCACACAGCUGGAUGAGACGGGGCACUGCCUUGGGGAGUUCAGGGAAGGUGGGCACUGCCUGCUGGGAGAUGGGAUACUGCUGCUGGGAGCAUGGUGGGGAUGGGGGCAUAAGCCACACAGCCAAGGUAGAGGGGGUGUCCUCCAGCUACGGAGAAGGUGCUGGGAGAGAACAAAGAGCCAGAGGGAGGACAAGCAGCUUUGCACCUGCCCUGUACGUCCAGGCGUCUCUGGGGCAGGCUCUUGCUGCUGAGCCCAGGGGCCAGGCACAAGUGAGAAGCAGCUUCCACUGGGUGUCCUUUUGUGCUGAGUUUGUGACAAUGUGGAUGCAUUAUUUCUUCAAAAACAUCAAUAAAAUGAACAGAUGUAGUGCACGUCUGAGUAUUCUAUAUUCUCAACUCUAACAUGCCCUGAAGCAUGAGAUGAUUCCAAAUGUGGCACAAUUUAACCGAGAAUGAAGCCGAAGCCCAUGAGGUCUGGGUUCUCAUGCACUCCCGUCCUCAUGGAACACGUGCCGUCACAAUGGACGUACCCUGUGCUCACAGGGGAGGCACAGAGACCCCUGCAGGAGGAGGCCAGGUUACACAGAGAACACAGUGGCCCAGCCUUGCCAGGUGCAGGGUUGUGACAGGCUGGGGGCAAGGGCACGAGUGCCGGCCAACCCAGGAAUG
rnacentral:lncRNA from 10 species